rnacentral:rRNA from 1 species
GUCUACGACCAUGCAACUCUGAACAUGCCCAAUCUCAUCUGAUCUUGGAAACUAAGUGGUGUCGGGCCUGGCUAAUACUUGGAUGGGAGACCACCUAGGAAUACCAGGUGCCAUAGGUG